ACCUGCACCCAACCUCUGCUGACAAUUGCUCUACACCUUGAUAUCCCUUUGAAAUUCACUCUAGCUGCCCCCAAAAAGAUCUACAUCCAUUUUAAGUUUCUUCGUCCAAAAUAUGAGGAGUUUGCAACUUAAUUGUCACUGGAGUAUUAAAUCUAAAAGGAGAUGGUUCACAUCUGAGCGUUGGAGUUUCAAGGAACUUAUUCUGCAAAACAAUUGAGAGAUUAAAGAAAAAUGCUAGAAUGAAGAAUUGAGAUAAUGGCGGAAAAAAAAAACAAAACAAGAACAACUGUUCGACGAAAAAGGAACUACAUGACCACUACCGUGCUCUAUAAAGGCAUAUGAGUUAAGAUACUGACACAAUAGAUUCAACAGAAAUGACUUUCCACCGCGAAAAUUUCCAAAUACGCUGAUAAUUGCAACGGGAUGGUCUUU